UACAGAGGUCUCAAGCGUUGUUCGGAUUCAUUGGGCGUAAAGGGUGCGUAGGCGGCGCGGUAAGUCGGGUGUGAAAUCUCGGAGCUUAACUCCGAAACUGCAUUCGAUACUGCCGUGCUUGAGGACUGGAGAGGAGACUGGAAUUUACGGUGUAGCGGUGAAAUUCGUAGAUAUCGGGAGGAACACCGGUGGCGAAGGCGGCGACCUGGGUAGAUACUGACGCUGAGGCGCGAAAGCGUGGGGAGCAAACAGG
rnacentral:rRNA from 1 species